GAUGAACGCUAGCUAUAGGCUUAACACAUGCAAGUCGAGGGACCGGCGCACGGGUGAGUAACGCGUAUCCAACCUGCCCAUAACUAAGUGAUAACCCAGCGAAAGUUGGACUAAUACCUUAUGGUUAUGGCUGGGGAUGCGUCUGAUUAGCUUGUUGGCGGGGGAACGGCCCACCAAGGCAACGAUCAGUAGGGGUGCUGAGAGGAAGGUCCACUACAUUGGAACUGCGACACGGUCCAAACUCCUACGGGGGGCAGGAGUGAGGAAUAUUGGUCAAUGGAGGCAAGUCUGAACCAGCCAAGUAGCGGGCAGGAUGACGGCCUAUUGGUUGUAAACCGCUUUUAUAUGGGGAGAGGUACCAUAUGAAUAAGGACCGGCUAAUUCCGUGCCAGCAGCCGCGGUAAUUC
rnacentral:rRNA from 1 species